GAGUUGGAGAUGCAGCAGAUGUCAGGUCGGGGGAAUGGCGUCCCUCGAAAGUCCAGUCAGCUGCACGUUCACUUCAAGAUGCACAACUAUGGAAGCUGACAGAUAAAUUCUAAGCUGACUCUACAAGACACUCACAACAGGGAUUUUGAAGAGAAUGAAUUUCAAAAUGAUGCUUCGCCGCUCGCAGGAUACUAGAAGCUGCGCAGUUGCUAUAAUCACGCGUCUCGAUGUAAACAAGAGAGUGAAUGUUGACAACUGAAGUGCUGAGUAAGCUAGAGAGUGUCAUGCUACCGUAAGCCGGAGAUGGAACCCCAGGACAAUAUUGAGGAGGAUGACACCGCUGCAUCAGCACCAUCAUCAUCAUCAUCAUCACCGCCACCGCGAUCUCUGCCCCGUCAGCGCGUGUCUCUGCAGAAAAGCAGCGUGUGUUCUCGCUCAUACUUCAUGGUGGUGAUGGUUUUUUUCCACGUUUAUAUAAUCAAUGUCAUUGCGCUUCUGCUCUAUGUUCAUUAUAAUAACGUCUCUAACGCGAUAACGGCAAACCGGGAUUUUACAAGCAGAGACAGCAGUCAUAAAGUUACUGGACCGUCAGAUCCCCAGACCCUUGCAGACUCGGGCUUCCCUCGAAACAUGUAUCUCCCUCGCAUUGAAGGAAUACGGGUGGGCCAUGUCCAAAAAGUGUCACUGGUGCCAGGGAAAGUCCAUGAAAUGAAGACACUCAGUCUAAAGCCCCUUCUGUUUG